GUAUGGUGCAAGCGUUAUCCGGAUUUACUGGGUGUAAAGGGAGCGUAGACGGCUGUGUAAGUCUGAAGUGAAAGCCCGGGGUUCAACCCCGGGACUGCUUUGGAAACUAUGCAGCUAGAGUGUCGGAGAGGUAAGUGGAAUUCCCAGUGUAGCGGUGAAAUGCGUAGAUAUUGGGAGGAACACCAGUGGCGAAGGCGGCUUACUGGACGAUGACUGACGUUGAGGCUCGAAAGCGUGGGGAGCAAACAGGAUUAGAUACCCUGGUAGUCCACGCCGUAAACGAUGACUACUAGGUGUCGGGGAGCAAAGCUCUUCGGUGCCGCAGCAAACGCAAUAAGUAGUCCACCUGGGGAGU
rnacentral:rRNA from 1 species